AAACAUCAUUAUGCCCAGUUGAAGUAUCAAUAUGGCAUGGACCAACCUAUUCCCUGAAUGAACCAAAUUGAUUUCAUUCAGGUAGCUCUGUGAAUUUAUGUUAAUUUUAUUUCAAAUGAUGAGCUUAUAGUAGUAUGAUGUCUAAUUUAUAGCUAGGCAUUCACAGUAAUCAGUAUUCGUUGUAAGCUUCCACAAAACUUUGAAGCUAUCUGUUCAUGUUAUUUGAGCACAAACUGUUUUGAAGUUCAUCUGGUGACUGGUGCAUAGAAGUGAUGAUUCAGCACCAAUCUAGACAUCUACCUGGAAGAGCCUCUGACUGAGCUUUUCGCUGGUCAUAAACUAAUAAUUCUGUCUGAAAACUUACAGUAUGCUGUACGCAGUGCUUUCUUAUUUUUCUUUUUCAUCACAUUCUGAUAACGGCUGGAAUGGUUACCGAUUUUACUUUUCCAGUGCAUGCACUGUUGCUUAUAUUAACCUACUGCGCAGUAUGGUCAACAUGCUAAUCACGAUUCUUAAAAGUGUUGGAUCAUUGUUUUUCUUGGAUGAAAUUUGAGGUGUUGGGUAGUUGCCACAGCCUCAGCGGGCCAAAACAAGGGCAAAAAAGUUCUUAGUUACUUUUCUGAUAAGUUUUGUUAGUUGCUUUUUUGAUAAGUUAAAAAUAUAUUGCGGUCUAGUGGAUCUUACUAAGUUACUAGUGACUCAUGAAGCAAUACUCAUACCACACUUCAGUAGAGCUACUUUAUUCUUUAUCGUUUGCAUUUUCCCAGAAAGUUCUGAGUCUUGUCUUUGUGCUAAUCACACAUGGCUCAGAAGGCAGAACGCAGAACAGAUCAACUGGUCCAGUUUACAGAACUGUUCUGCUCCUAUCGGUGAAAAUAAUGAAGACAUGAAUCAAUUUUGACAUGUACUUGACUGUGGUAUAAAUAACUAUGGGUAAUAUUUGAAGAUAACCUCAAAGGAUGCUUCAAUUUGUUUGUGACUUGUUCUGAAUUCAUUAGAGGCAAAUCAUCUACAGUAGAAUGAGAUACCUUGGUAAUAAUGGACAAGAUGAGAUCUGUGACACUUUGAAUAAGCGGGAAUGCUGGUUGGCAUGUCAGAGAAAUAGAAUAAUGAGAAUCAUAUGGUUUGCUUGGGAUGAUAAGCGAAAAAAGCUCUAAGGUUUCCCUUCCUGCAUCCUUCUAUCUGACACCACUAAGUACUAACUGUGCACUAAUCAGAAUUAUCUGUUUCUACAUCAGGUCACCAAGAAUAGCUGUAUUCCGAACAUGAACAAUAAAGAUAGUGAUGUAUUUAGUCUUAUAUGUAGCUAAGUAACCUUUGAUGUUUUCUGACCUUUUUCCUUAAAAAGGAUUCAAUAUCAACUGUUUGUUUAGGUUAGCUACCGAGGGGACUUGAAUUUUAUUAUGCUAGAAUGGCUUACACUAGCUGGUUUAGUUGUGCUCUUAGGCCUUCCCCUGAUGGCUGACAUGCAGUAGGUAUGUUAAUCUACCCUUUAGCUGAGCCUUAUAGUGUUGUAUUGGAUUCAUCCCACUGAUUUGCACGAAGCAUCUAGACCCAAGACCUAAGAGGCUAGUAUGUGACAAUUUAUUGCUUGAAUUUUCAUUGUAGAGAAUCUGAUUUACUGUCUGACAUAAAAUCUCUAAUUUGAUCCUACUCAUCUUUCAGCUCUGUUGUAUUGAAUUGACAAUAUAGUUGACUUUCCAGACCUUAUCUGCUGAUGUCAUGACCUCCUUUGGUUUCAUCAUGAAUGGCUACUCAGGGGAUUCUUUGACGUGAAGGGGGUCACCCCUACAUGGCUAAACCUAAUUUAUGGAUUAGUCUGGUAAGAAUAUUGUAUCUAUGUUCCAGAGUUUAUCUUUCUAAGUAAACACGGGACGUUAUACAUCUGUUUUACUCUCCUUAAGCACGACAAACCUAAUUUCCAACCCUGAACAUGAUAUAUAUUUUUUGAACGGAAAAUUAUAGGGGAGGCUCGACAGUACAAAUUUAGUAAAACAAGUACCCAACUUUGUACUAAACCAGAGACAAGUAAUAUGGAUCGGAGGGAGUAGUAAUAUUUACAAGAGAGGGCUGUACAGGGGGAGGGGGAGAAGAACUGCUAAUCUGGUAAGCCUGCUCAUCCUUCAUUCUGUAAGAGAGAAGGAAAGGGUCUCUUUUAAUGAGAAAAGGCCAGGAGGCUAAACUAGGAGGAAUAUUAUGAAAAAAUUCUAGCAUUUCUUUGUUUCCAAAUGUUCCAAGCUGCUACAAGAAAGGCUUCUCUGGAGAGAGGUUUGCUGAGAGGAAGGAGCAAGGUAAAGAUUAAUUGAGGCCCAGCAGCCCCUGCUGAAGGAGCAGUUCCAGAAAAUAUGAUCACGAGUUUCAAGGGUCCUCGAGGAGAAGGGAAUGGCCAUGUUGAUGGGGUCGUCUUUCAAGCAUGUCUUGAGUAUUUAGUCUGUGUCAUUAAAGAGCAAACAGGCAAAAGCUUUGAGUUCGGCUGAGCAUUUGGAUUUCCACAUCCACGAGAAGAUGCUGUAUAUUUGGUGGCAUAAUAGCCAUUCCCCAAUUAGUCAGCUCUACAGCAGCUAUAUGAAUUACUCACAUAACCAUUGUGGGCCUGGGAGUGGAAUGGGAGUUUCUCUAGAGAGAGAAUGUAGAUGAAAUUGACAUGUAGCGAGGCAACAACGACAUCAUUGUGAAUCCCAGCAAUUGAGCACUCGACACAGUAAAGUUUAGUUUACUCUCAUUGUCCUUUCUCCAAUAAUGCAUUGUACGCUGGCCAAUUUAAAAUGCCACCUUGCAGAUUCUAGGUCCUUGCACUAUGAUUUACCUGGCAAAGCACCUGCAGACAUCAGCAUCCUCACGAGCAUAUAAGGCAACCCUUCCCUCUCCUCUUGUCCACAGCCCCUACCGACUAUGGAAGGCGCAUGGCUCGAGCAUCUACAUGGCUCUUGAGAGCGGAAGCAGGGUCGGGAUGAACCGCAAAGCUGAGCGCUUCAGCUUUGCGGUGCCUCUCCUGACCUCCCAGGUGGUCGCCUGAGGUACGCAAGAAUCGGCAAGUCACAAAACGGCAAUGGUGAACUCCGGCAGGAGUCCACCCCCCUUUUAUCCUUUUCUCUCCAUUCAGUUGUAUCAGGUGGAAGUCGAAUAAUCGGAAGUCUCUGUGUGUGAUGAAUCAAUGGAUGCUUCAAGUCCAUGUUUUGUUUUUCUCUUCCUUUAUUAUGUGUACUCUGGAAACACUACUAUAAAUGGCUGAUGUUCAUCUAGCAAAACCACUUUAUGGUGUCUUGUUUGA